rnacentral:lncRNA from 1 species
UAGUGCUUCAAUUGUUGGCCAUUCACCACAAAUUUCUUCUUCUCGUGAUCUUCCAACUCAAUAUCUCUAAUUGGGUAAACAUUCGAGAUUACGAACUGGCCCGACCACUUCUAUCUAAGCUUUCCCAUGAAAAGUUUCAAUCUUGAAUUGAAGAAGAAGACAUCAUCACGCAUAUGAAACUCUUGCUUUAGGAUUUUGGCAUCAUGCCAC